rnacentral:misc_RNA from 1 species
AAGAUAGAUGAACUAGAGCCAAGAAGAAGCCUCAUUGGCUUUCUGGCACGACAAUUAGCAGUUAAAUCCUACUACGCUGCGCUACCAUCAUUCAAAUUUUUGCACAAAAAAAACCAUAAAACAAUCCCAUACAAUACAAAUUCCAUCAUUAACUAUAGAUGGGUUUUCAAUUUGCUGAUUGAUUCAAAAGUACACAAAUAAAAUUAAUUACAGUUAA